rnacentral:rRNA from 1 species
AGCGUACACGGUGGAUGCCCUGGCAGUCAGAGGCGAUGAAGGACGUGCUAAUCUGCGAUAAGCGUCGGUGAGGUGAUAUGAACCGUUAUAACCGGCGAUUUCCGAAUGGGGAAACCCAGUGUGUUUCGUCACACUAUCAUUAACUGAAUCCAUAGGUUAAUGAGGCGAACCGGGGGAACUGAAACAUCUAAGUACCCCGAGGAAAAGAAAUCAACCGAGAUUCCCCCAGUAGCGGCGAGCGAACGGGGAGGAGCCCAGAGCCUGAAUCAGUGUGUGUGUUAGUGGAAGCGUCUGGAAAGGCGCGCGAUACAGGGUGACAGCCCCGUACACAAAAAUGCACAUACUGUGAGCUCGAUGAGUAGGGCGGGACACGUGGUAUCCUGUCUGAAUAUGGGGGGACCAUCCUCCAAGGCUAAAUACUCCUGACUGACCGAUAGUGAACCAGUACCGUGAGGGAAAGGCGAAAAGAACCCCGGCGAGGGGAGUGAAAAAGAACCUGAAACCGUGUACGUACAAGCAGUGGGAGCCUCUUAAUGGGGUGACUGCGUACCUUUUGUAUAAUGGGUCAGCGACUUAUAUUCUGUAGCAAGGUUAACCGAAUAGGGGAGCCGAAGGGAAACCGAGUCUUAACUGGGCGUUAAGUUGCAGGGUAUAGACCCGAAACCCGGUGAUCUAGCCAUGGGCAGGUUGAAGGUUGGGUAACACUAACUGGAGGACCGAACCGACUAAUGUUGAAAAAUUAGCGGAUGACUUGUGGCUGGGGGUGAAAGGCCAAUCAAACCGGGAGAUAGCUGGUUCUCCCCGAAAGCUAUUUAGGUAGCGCCUCGUGAAUUCAUCUCCGGGGGUAGAGCACUGUUUCGGCAAGGGGGUCAUCCCGACUUACCAACCCGAUGCAAACUGCGAAUACCGGAGAAUGUUAUCACGGGAGACACACGGCGGGUGCUAACGUCCGUCGUGAAGAGGGAAACAACCCAGACCGCCAGCUAAGGUCCCAAAGUCAUGGUUAAGUGGGAAACGAUGUGGGAAGGCCCAGACAGCCAGGAUGUUGGCUUAGAAGCAGCCAUCAUUUAAAGAAAGCGUAAUAGCUCACUGGUCGAGUCGGCCUGCGCGGAAGAUGUAACGGGGCUAAACCAUGCACCGAAGCUGCGGCAGCGACACUAUGUGUUGUUGGGUAGGGGAGCGUUCUGUAAGCCUGUGAAGGUGUACUGUGAGGUAUGCUGGAGGUAUCAGAAGUGCGAAUGCUGACAUAAGUAACGAUAAAGCGGGUGAAAAGCCCGCUCGCCGGAAGACCAAGGGUUCCUGUCCAACGUUAAUCGGGGCAGGGUGAGUCGACCCCUAAGGCGAGGCCGAAAGGCGUAGUCGAUGGGAAACAGGUUAAUAUUCCUGUACUUGGUGUUACUGCGAAGGGGGGACGGAGAAGGCUAUGUUGGCCGGGCGACGGUUGUCCCGGUUUAAGCGUGUAGGCUGGUUUUCCAGGCAAAUCCGGAAAAUCAAGGCUGAGGCGUGAUGACGAGGCACUACGGUGCUGAAGUGACAAAUGCCCUGCUUCCAGGAAAAGCCUCUAAGCAUCAGGUAACAUUAAAUCGUACCCCAAACCGACACAGGUGGUCAGGUAGAGAAUACCAAGGCGCUUGAGAGAACUCGGGUGAAGGAACUAGGCAAAAUGGUGCCGUAACUUCGGGAGAAGGCACGCUGAUAUGUAGGUGAAGCGACUUGCUCGUGGAGCUGAAAUCAGUCGAAGAUACCAGCUGGCUGCAACUGUUUAUUAAAAACACAGCACUGUGCAAACACGAAAGUGGACGUAUACGGUGUGACGCCUGCCCGGUGCCGGAAGGUUAAUUGAUGGGGUUAGCGGCAACGCGAAGCUCUUGAUCGAAGCCCCGGUAAACGGCGGCCGUAACUAUAACGGUCCUAAGGUAGCGAAAUUCCUUGUCGGGUAAGUUCCGACCUGCACGAAUGGCGUAAUGAUGGCCAGGCUGUCUCCACCCGAGACUCAGUGAAAUUGAACUCGCUGUGAAGAUGCAGUGUACCCGCGGCAAGACGGAAAGACCCCGUGAACCUUUACUAUAGCUUGACACUGAACAUUGAGCCUUGAUGUGUAGGAUAGGUGGGAGGCUUUGAAGUGUGGACGCCAGUCUGCAUGGAGCCGACCUUGAAAUACCACCCUUUAAUGUUUGAUGUUCUAACGUGGGCCCGUAAUCCGGGUUGCGGACAGUGUCUGGUGGGUAGUUUGACUGGGGCGGUCUCCUCCUAAAGAGUAACGGAGGAGCACGAAGGUUGGCUAAUCCUGGUCGGACAUCAGGAGGUUAGUGCAAUGGCAUAAGCCAGCUUGACUGCGAGCGUGACGGCGCGAGCAGGUGCGAAAGCAGGUCAUAGUGAUCCGGUGGUUCUGAAUGGAAGGGCCAUCGCUCAACGGAUAAAAGGUACUCCGGGGAUAACAGGCUGAUACCGCCCAAGAGUUCAUAUCGACGGCGGUGUUUGGCACCUCGAUGUCGGCUCAUCACAUCCUGGGGCUGAAGUAGGUCCCAAGGGUAUGGCUGUUCGCCAUUUAAAGUGGUACGCGAGCUGGGUUUAGAACGUCGUGAGACAGUUCGGUCCCUAUCUGCCGUGGGCGCUGGAGAACUGAGGGGGGCUGCUCCUAGUACGAGAGGACCGGAGUGGACGCAUCACUGGUGUUCGGGUUGUCAUGCCAAUGGCACUGCCCGGUAGCUAAAUGCGGAAGAGAUAAGUGCUGAAAGCAUCUAAGCACGAAACUUGCCCCGAGAUGAGUUCU